rnacentral:rRNA from 1 species
AAGCGGUGGAUGAUGUGGUUUAAUUCGAUGCAACGCGAAAACCUUACCACCUUUGACAUGGCAGGAAUCCUAAAGAGAUUUGGGAGUGCCCGAAAGAGAACCUGCACACAGGUGCUGCAUGGCUGUCGUCAGCUCGUGUCGUGAGAUGUUGGGUUAAGUCCCGCAACGAGCGCAACCCUUGUCAUUAGUUGCCAUCAUUUGGUUGGGCACUCUAAUGAGACUGCCGGUGACAAACCGGAGGAAGGUGGGGAUGACGUCAAGUCCUCAUGGCCCUUAUGGGUAGGGCUUCACACGUCAUACAAUGGUCGGUACAGAGGGUUGCCAACCCGCGAGGGGGAGCUAAUCCCACAAAGCCGAUCGUAGUCCGGAUCGCAGUCUGCAACUCGACUGCGUGAAGUCGGAAUCGCUAGUAAUCGUGGAUCAGCAUGUCACGGUGAAUACGUUCCCGGGUCUU